rnacentral:rRNA from 1 species
CACGUAGGGGACGAGCGUUGUCCGGAAUUAUUGGGCGUAAAGAGCUCGUAGGCGGUGUGUCGCGUCGGCCGUGAAAACCUGCAGCUUAACUGUGGGCUUGCGGUCGAUACGGGCAUCACUGGAGUUCGGCAGGGGAGACUGGAAUUCCUGGUGUAGCGGUGAAAUGCGCAGAUAUCAGGAGGAACACCGGUGGCGAAGGCGGGUCUCUGGGCCGAUACUGACGUGGAGGAGCGAAAGCGUGGGGAGCGAACAG